AAAGACUUAAGGGAACAGUCGGUGUCUAUCAGUUUCCCACUGGCCGUUUAAGUCCCGAU
rnacentral:pre_miRNA from 1 species